AUGAACGCUGGCGGCGUGCCUAAUACAUGCAAGUCGAGCGAACAGAUGAGGAGCUUGCUCCUCUGACGUUAGCGGCGGACGGGUGAGUAACACGUGGAUAACCUACCUAUAAGACUGGGAUAACUUCGGGAAACCGGAGCUAAUACCGGAUAAUAUAUUGAACCGCAUGGUUCAAUAGUGAAAGACGGUUUUGCUGUCACUUAUAGAUGGAUCCGCGCCGCAUUAGCUAGUUGGUAAGGUAACGGCUUACCAAGGCAACGAUGCGUAGCCGACCUGAGAGGGUGAUCGGCCACACUGGAACUGAGACACGGUCCAGACUCCUACGGGAGGCAGCAGUAGGGAAUCUUCCGCAAUGGGCGAAAGCCUGACGGAGCAACGCCGCGUGAGUGAUGAAGGUCUUCGGAUCGUAAAACUCUGUUAUUAGGGAAGAACAAAUGUGUAAGUAACUAUGCACGUCUUGACGGUACCUAAACAGAAAGCCACGGCUAACUACGUG
rnacentral:rRNA from 1 species